UACGUAGGGUGCAGGCGUUAAUCGGAAUUACUGGGCGUAAAGCGUGCGCAGGCGGUGAUGUAAGACAGAUGUGAAAUCCCCGGGCUCAACCUGGGAACUGCAUUUGUGACUGCAUCGGCUGGAGUGCGGCAGAGGGGGAUGGAAUUCCGCGUGUAGCAGUGAAAUGCGUAGAUAUGCUGAGGAACACCGAUGGCGAAGGCAAUCCCCUCGGGCCUGCACUGACGCUCAUGCACGAAAGCGUGGGAGCAA
rnacentral:rRNA from 1 species